UGUCGUUUACUAAAGGAGUGAGGGAGUUUGGGGUAUUGGUACGGAGCUUGAGACGGAUGGAGUCGAUGAGGUUGGCGCGGUGGAGGUAGUGGGAGAGCUUGUUGGGAAAUAGGUUGCGGGAAUAGCGGCGGGUGAGGAUUUUGAGGAGGUGGAAAUGCAUGGUCAAUAUGUCGAACAGGUGGUGGGCAUGACUUCAAGUAGCGGAGAAUUGAGGUUGCGAGUUUGGGAUUGGAGAUUUUGGGGUUGAGAUAAAGAGGAAGUGAGAAUUAAAUUUGGGUUGUGGCCGGAGAAUGUGUAGUGCUUGUCAACAUCUAUUCCGUUCCCCAC
rnacentral:lncRNA from 1 species